rnacentral:tRNA from 1 species
GGUGCGUUAGUUCAGUUGGUUAGAAUGCCUGCCUGUCACGCAGGAGGUUACGAGUUCGAGUCUCGUACGCACCG